CCAGCCCGCCAGCCAGUCAGCAAGGCAGCCAGCAAGCCAAUGCCUGGCACAUGCGUUUACACACACGCGCGCACACACACACGGAGCUGAAAAUAAUCAAGUGGUGGAGGAGGAGUGGGCGGCAGCAGCGGGAGAGGAAGCGAAGACGACCCUCAGAGAGAGAAAGAGAGAAGGAAGGAGCGACUGUACGAGUCCAUGUGAGAGUAGAAGUGAAGAGAGGUCAGAGGUCAGCAGCAGCUACAGAGCCUCCAUGAAGCACCAGGACUUCCUCAACGGCACUUCAGCGGGCCACAAACCCAGAAUAGACACCCUACCACCGUUUCCUCGCAGUAAUCGGAACAGGUCAAAGGUCAGGAUUGGACAGUUCCUAGAGCUCCAGAUUCUUACAUGGAAACACAUUGACCCGUCGGUUUAGAACAAGGACGUGGCUACACUACG